rnacentral:rRNA from 1 species
AUACGUAGGGUGCGAGCGUUAAUCGGAAUUACUGGGCGUAAAGCGUGCGCAGGCGGUUUUGUAAGUCAGAUGUGAAAUCCCCGGGCUUAACCUGGGAACUGCGUUUGAAACUGCAAGGCUAGAGUGUGGCAGAGGGGGGUGGAAUUCCGCGUGUAGCAGUGAAAUGCGUAGAGAUGUGGAGGAACACCAAUGGCGAAGGCAGCCCCCUGGGUCAACACUGACGCUCAGGCACGAAAGCAUGGGGAGCAAACAGGAUUAGAAACCCCAGUAGUCC